rnacentral:misc_RNA from 1 species
UGCAACUUUGAGGUGAAGUGCAAGGUCCACACAUGAGAUAAAUGACAUUGCCAAGAGGCCUCAUAUAGAUACCAUCUUCGCGGAGCUUCUGAAGGAGAGAUCUAGCAUAUAGAGAAGCAUACCCAGCAUUAGAGCCUUCUGCUCGAAGUUCCAAUGCACAUAGAGUCCCCAACACAACCACUCUAUGCACUGCUGGAAGUAAAGAAAUUUGUCUCACCAUGUCUGAAUCCCACAGCUCCCUGAGCAGCAUGGCUUCAGAUAUCAG